rnacentral:rRNA from 1 species
GAUGAACGCUGGCGGCGUGCCUAAUACAUGCAAGUCGAGCGAACAGGCGAGGAGCUUGCUCCUCUGACGUUAGCGGCGGACGGGUGAGUAACACGUGGAUACCCUACCUAUAAGACUGGGAUCACUUCGGGAAACCGGAGCUAAUACCGGAUAAUAUAUUGAACCGCAUGGUUCAAUAGUGAAAGACGGUUUUGCUGUCACUUAUAGAUGGAUCCGCGCCGCAUUAGCUAGUUGGUAAGGUAACGGCUUACCAAGGCAACGAUGCGUAGCCGACCUGAGAGGAUGAUCGGCCACACUGGAACUGAGACACGGUCCAGACUCCUACGGGAGGCAGCAGUAGGGAAUCUUGCGCAAUGGGCGAAAGCUUGACGGAGCAACGCCGCGUGAGUGAUGAAGGUCUUCGGAUCGUAAAACUCUGUUAUUAGGGAAGAACAAAUGUGUAAGUAACUAUGCACGUCUUGACGGUACCUAAUCAGAAAGCCACGGCUAACUACGUG